GAUGAACGCUGGCGGCGCGCCUAACACAUGCAAGUCGAACGGCACCCCUCCUCGGAGGGAAGCGAGUGGCGAACGGCUGAGUAACACGUGGAGAACCUGCCCCCUCCCCCGGGAUAGCCGCCCGAAAGGACGGGUAAUACCGGAGACCCCGGGGUGCCGCAUGGCACCCCGGCUAAAGCCCCGACGGGAGGGGAUGGCUCCGCGGCCCAUCAGGUAGACGGCGGGGUGACGGCCCACCGUGCCGACCACGGGUAGCCGGGUUGAGAGACCGACCGGCCAGAUUGGGACUGAGACACGGCCCCGACUCCUACGGGAGGCCGCAGUGGGGAAUCUUGCGCCAUGGGGGGAACCCCGACGCAGCGCCGCCGCGUGCGGGACGGAGGCCUUCGGGUCGUAAACCGCUUUCAGCAGGGAAGAGUCAAGACUGUACCUGCAGAAGAAGCCCCGGCUAACUACGUG
rnacentral:rRNA from 1 species